rnacentral:rRNA from 1 species
GACGAACGCUGGCGGCGUGCCUAAUACAUGCAAGUAGGACGCAGUUGCGAACGGGUGAGUAACGCGUCGGUAACUGCCUAUUAGAGGGGGAUAACUAUUGGAAACGAUAGCUAAUACCGCAUACUAGUAGAUGGACCUGCGUUGUAUUGGCUAGUAGGUAGGGUAAUGGUCUACCUAAGCGACGAUACAUAGCCGAACUGAGAGGUUGAUCGGCCACACUGGGACUGAGACACGGCCCAGACUCCUACGGGAGGCAGCAGGAGGGGAACGUCGGCAAUGGGGGGAACCCUGACCGGGCAACGGCGCGUGAGUGAAGAAGGGUUUCGGAUCGUAAAGCUCUGUUGUUAAGGAAGCGGUACUUAACCAGAAAGGGACGGCUAACUACGUGCCAGCAGCCGCGGUAAUUC